rnacentral:other from 1 species
UUGUCCCUGCCGUGUUCGUGACUCGGCCAUAUAUUCUCUGAACCUAUGUCUUACGGCAUAUAGGUUGCGAGAGUGCUGAACUGGCGUGAUCGUCUCUUCGCGGACGAACCCAAGGUUCCGCCAAUCGCGGCCGACUUGAACCUCAGGGUUCGAGAUGCCGGCCUAGACGGCACAGGCGGGGCAUCU